UGUCACGUAUACAUUAAGUAGUUCAGGGCUGCUCUCUAGUUGGUGAUAGGAUGGUUCCGUUGCCUGAUAACAGCUGGGAACAAACUGUCCCUUGAAUCUAGUGGUGUGUUUUCAUAUUUCUGUACC